CCCGGCCGGGGAGGCGGGCCUUGUGUGUCCGGGACGGUGACAAAAGGAGGGAAGCCGAGGGCCGUUUGCGACCGGGGAGGUCGAGCGUGGGGUUGGCGCUCCGGACCCCGGAGGCGCCCUCGGUCGGUCGCGCACCCCUCGGCCUCCACGCAGGCACCUGGCGGGUCCGCCCCGGCGCGGAGAGCGAAGGUAGCGGCGACGACAGCGCCCCCUCUGGCCCGGCGUUGCCGCCUCAGGCGCGGCGGGCGGGCGGGCGGGCGGGCAGGCCGGGCGGCGGGGCCGUUUGCCCGGCGCGGCGCCCGCUCGGGCCCUCCCCACCUGGGCCGGGCCCGAAGCCAGGCCUGGGCCCGCGGCCUCCGGGGUCUUGGAGCUGCUGUCCAGCUCGCGGGCGGCUUGGGGCAUCUUCCCUCAGGGCCUCUCGGGGUCCCGGGAAAUGGGGACGUUGACGCCGUCGGUGAAAAAGGGGUUCCGAGCCUUGAAAAAGUUUGGGGCAGGAUCCGAAGUUUCUUAGGCAGUGAGAGGGCUAAGGGACACCCGUCUUGGGUCCCGGGUGGAUGGGGAGACGGGGGACCUUCGGUGUUCGGAGGCGGACGAGGAAGCCGGAGUCGGGUCCACCUGCAGGGCGGGCAGAAUCCCUCCCGUGGCUUCGCCGGUGACGCUUGCUGCCGUCUGGUGGGCAUCCUCCAGCAGCGGAGCAGGGCUUCUGGUGUCGCUUGCUGCCUACUGGUGGGCAUCCUCGCAGCAGCGGAGCAGGGCUUCUGGUGUCGCUUGCUGCCGUCUGGUGGGCAUCCUCCAGCAGCGGAGAAGGGCUUCUGCUGUCGCUUGCUGCCUACUGGUGGGCAUCCUCGCAGCAGCGGAGAAGGGCUUCUGGUGUCGCCGGGGAGUGGUGUCUGGGUGUCCCCCUCGCCCCGGGGGCAGAAGUGUGAGCUCCAGGGAGGGUCUCCAGUAGGCAGGGCUCUUGUAAGGGCUGCAGAAGAGUUAAUGAUGUGUGUGGAAGAAAAAAGAACAUCAAGGCAGGAAACCGCAGAGUGA
rnacentral:lncRNA from 1 species